rnacentral:rRNA from 1 species
CCUACGGGCGGCAGCAGUGAGGAAUAUUGGUCAAUGGACGAGAGUCUGAACCAGCCAAGUAGCGUGAAGGAUGACUGCCCUAUGGGUUGUAAACUUCUUUUAUAAAGGAAUAAAACGAGGCACGUGUGCCUUUUUGCAUGUACUUUAUGAAUAAGGAUCGGCUAACUCCGUGCCAGCAGCCGCGGUAAUACGGAGGAUCCGAGCGUUAUCCGGAUUUAUUGGGUUUAAAGGGAGCGUAGAUGGGUUGUUAAGUCAGUUGUGAAAGUUUGCGGCUCAACCGUAAAAUUGCAAUUGAUACUGGCAGUCUAGAGUACAGUUGAGGUAGGCGGAAUUCGUGGUGUAGCGGUGAAAUGCUUAGAUAUCACGAAGAACCCCGAUUGCGAAGGCAGCUUACUAAACUGUGACUGACAUUGAUGCUCGAAAGUGUGGGUAUCAAACAGGAUUAGAUACCCUUGUAGUC